CUCUUUAAUUAAUUAUACACACACAUAUAUAUAAUUAAUUAUACACACAAACAUAUAAAGUAAAAGAAAAGAAAAGAAAAGAAAAUGAUUCCGAGUGUUACUCCAUCUUAGUAUGAAGCAAGGUUUUUAGACUUUAAUCUUAUGUGUGGAUAUAUAUUUCAUCUAAGUCUAACAUUUCUACUUAUCUAGAUAAAUAACUUAAAUUAUAUCAGCACAAGUACGAGAUUAUGAUACCGUUUAAAUUUCAAUGACUUUUGAUUUAAACAUCUUAAAAUGAUUCAUUCAAAAUGUAUUUUUCUUCACUACGACAACGAUUCAGUCGGUUAUCAACGUACUUUUCAAUUUUAUUUCAAGAUCAAUUUACUUGCGUUGAUAUGAGAUACAAACUUUUUAUCUUAUUUUCUUGAAACAAGUGACAUACAAACAAGUGACAUACACUGAUGCUGCUCCCAUAAGAAACCCAAGAGAUCAUGAAGUGAUAGAAGAAAGAACCGAGGAGAUUGCAUAUGCAUAGGCACGCGCUCACGCACUUCCAAAUCUGCGUUCGGUCACUUCGGUGCUUACGUUACAAACUCAACCGCCCCAACCCGACGCUGCGAUUCCUGUGUGCUCCCAAUUCGGCGGCGUCUGCGUCCACAUUGCACGCGCCGACGCGUGUUUAAUUUUGCAAUUUGGGCCUUUUUGUCAGAGGGACUGGGCUACAAGGGCUGCUGCCAAAACGUGGAUCUUGGGCUGUCAACGUCAGACAGGGGCCCAGUCUUUUAAUAAGGAUUUACCAACAAGAUCCAGGUUCUGACGUCACGGGUCACCUAGAAAAGGGAGCGGGGCGUUUCACUGUAGCAGCAGAGAAAUGUGGCUUCUCCUUGUGAAGUUAAAAACCAGACGAUGAGUGAGCAGACACCUUCCUCUUAGCUUGUUGUGGAUAAUGAUCCUAGCUGGAUAUUUCUUUGUUUUCCCAAAUAAAUAAUGUACAACUUCUAAAAAUAAAAUCUUAUCCAAAAAACUUCUAAAAAUAAACCAAAAACAAUAAAUAAUGAACAAUCUGCAAUGUUACUGUUUUGCACUAAAUUUUUGGAUGCUUCUAUAAGUAAAGAAGUUUCCUCCACGUAAUUUCUACAUUUAUGUGCUUCUAGCAUGAGUUAAGUAAUUGAACUAAAAGAAAUUAGUUAAGCGAAGCAAGACGAAUCAAACUUUACUAUGAGACCAAGGGGGUCAUGCCUCCCUCCUUUCCUCACUGAUUCAGAAGCUUUUUUAAUUACGGUGUUAUUAUGUUAUUUUUGGUAUUUUAAGAAUUUGACAUAUAUGCAUUGUCAACAACAACAAAAAUUGACAUAUAUGGCUCGAAAGUUAUUCUAAGUUCCGUCACUAUAUGUGUCACAUCCCGAUCCUUAAAUUUUUACCUUAUUUACUAGCUUGGUAUUAAUAAGAGUUUUACCGUCUUCGUUAAUGAGAUUAUAAUUUUUUUGGUCCCUAGAGGGUUUUUGAGAGACGAUUAUUUCGGAGAAUUAUUUGUAGGAGAAAAUAUGACGACGGUAAAAAUGGUAAAUUUUAGCUAGUAAAAGGUAAUUUUUUGUUAGAGUAUUUUUAUUGAGGUGUUUUAUGUUAUGGAGUAGAGUGUUUUAGAGUGGUUUUAAGGAGUUGGACCCGGUGUUGGAGGCCCAAAGUCUUUUUCUUCUUCUCUCUUUUCUCUUCCCUCUUCCCCGAGCCCCCUCCCCGGCGAACUUCCAGCCGCCGUCCGGUCGUCCCAGACCACCGCUCAUGUCCCGAUCAAACCCCUCUCUCCUCCCCUCUCUCCCUAGGCCGGUGAGCAAGCCCACAGCGCCACCGAACGGGAGGAAACUCCUCCGAGGAGCCAACUGUGCUCUUGCCGGAACUCACUCUUCCGGCCGCCAUAGCCGGAGCUGCUAGGCUAAAAAAAGAAGCCCUCCUUCCAUGCAUUCAUCCCUCCAAAGGUGUCUCUCCCUCUUGAGCUAGGUAAGGAGUUAUUUGGUGUUCAAGCUCAUGGGUUUUCUAGAAUGUUUUCGUUCGAUUGACCUAGUUAGGCUUGAAAUUGGGUGUUGUGCUAGUUAAAGAAGUUGUAGAGUGAGUUGAGAGGAAGUUGUGUUAAAAUUUGGUAGGCAUUAGAGGUCGCCGGAGUCGGCCUCCGGCCGUCGCUGCCGGUGGAGCAGGCGGCAGCGCUACCGCUGUUGUCAAGACCCAUCCCGAAUUUCACCCUGAAACCCGAAGUAAAUCCUACGGGGACCAUCUCCAAGGAAAGUUUACCGAAAAUUCGACAUAACCUCCCUUGAAAAUGGACAACCCUUCAUAAUAAUACCUGCAAACACUUCUGAAAAAUCCAAAUCCAUCCUUUAACUCCUGGAGCCUUCGUGCUCCCCAAAACACAACAUCUCCCAAUUAUUUACUAAUUUUAAUAAGAAAACUAACAACCAACAAUCACUAGUUCAUAGCAACUCUAAUAUAGGAGAAAAGGACUAGAAUUAUAAAUGUGAACGGGAGCUACACUAUCGCCUAUGCCUCACCUCCAUGUACACCCGAACUCAACUAUGCAAACCUGCCAACUGGGCAUUUUAAAACGAAGGGUCCAGGGGAAAACAUUUAUUAACGCGUUAGAGUGAGUGCACAAAAAUAAAUUAAUAAAAAUAUUUAUGCAUUUCCAUUUUAAUUUCCAAAGAAAAUAUACUGCAUGCGGCAGCUCAAAAGCGCUCAACACAAAAACUGGCAAUUUCAUGAUUAGCUCCGGCCAGUCUCCAAAGCUCAAUAAAAUACAGCCUCUCAGGCUAAAAUAAAAUAUGUAUGUAUUACACUCGUCAUAUCCCUUGUAUGAAUUUUCUUGAAACAACAAAGACAAAUAGAAAAUUCACACAAGGCUACGACGCUUGCGUCUAACGCUCACGUCGNNNNNNNNNNNNNNNNNNNNAUAUAUAUAUAUAUAUAUAUAUACACUCACCGAAAUUCUCAAUUUCGGUUAUUUUCCAACAACAUAAAUUAUUUCGCAUGCACACUAUUUAAAACAAAAGUCCACUCACAGUAUUAGGCCUAAGCCUUCCAAUGCUCGGAAUACUCCUCGAGCGCUGCCUCCAACUAAUCACACUCUCUAGCCAAAUCCCACGUCUGACGAUAAACAGAAGAAUAAAUUUGUCAGACCGGACUCCAAAAUAAUCAUUGAUUGGACUUCGUCCUAAUUCGACUAGGUUUCCCUAGGUUGACCAGGAUUGACCAAAUGAUUAAAUAUUAUUUUUAACCAAUUUCACAUCCAGAACUCAUUUUGCUCAAGUUCCGUAACCUCAACUUGGAAUCAAGUUCUCAUUGAAAUUCCAAGCCUAAAGCGUAACAUCCAAAAUAUUUCACCAUUCCGCCAAGUAAUAAAAUAAACACAAAACUCACUAUGGACACCCAUAGUAUUAUUUAGCUCAUUUCAAAAUCCAACUAGAGUCAACCUCAUUCUCUACUUAAAUGCUUUUAAACAAGCUGCAAAUACCAACAACUUCACUUUUUCCCUACCAUCCAACUUCACAUUAUGCCUAGACUUUCAAGACCACAAUUUUAAACUCCAACAUCAAUUCCUCUUAAGGCAUCAAUAACAUUUAUCAGACUCAAAACUACCUUAACGACUCUCAGCCAGAUAUGCUGCUUUGUCGGAUUCCGGCGACUUGCUGGAAUAUUCUGCCGGAUUCCGGCCACUUGCCGGAAUUUCACCAUGAUCUCCCCGCAAUCUCUAGAACACCAAGUUAUCGAUAUAAAACAACCAAAACAACAAUUAGCUUCUUCCAAACUCACACAGCAGCAACACGACAACUCUAGGAGCAAGAAGAUUACCUUCAGACGACAGCAAAGCUUCUCUUGCCGGAUUUCGGGUUCGUGGCUCCUCCCACAUAGCAGUAGCAACACCUCAAGUCUCCCCAACCGAUAGUCUUGGCCUCUUGAAGCUUAGCAGGUCGUCGGGAGGAGACAAGAGGUACAAUGAAGCCUCAUCAACUCCAACAAAGCCCGAAGCACACGCCGGAAACCCUCGAACGCCGGUCACCGGAGCUAGGAGUUCGAACCCAGAAAAGAGAAGAAAGGGGUUUCCAAAUUAGGGUUCGAUUCGUACAACCAAGGACAUAGAAAGGAAGAGGGAAGUGAGGAGAACAAGAAUAUACCCUUCAACGCUGUCGUCCUUGUCGGAGCUCGCCGGAAAUAACAAAACACAGUCGCCGUCCACCUCCUUCGAUCUCCGUCGAGAGUGGAUGCCUUCUGGCUUCAAGGACCGGGCUGUGCUGAGAAGGAGGAGGGGACGACUUCGAUGGUGGUCUCGUCGCCAGGGAUGGCCGGAGACGGCGAUGCUGCGUUGGAGAAGACAGCGGCCGACGGAGAUGAGGGAGAAGAGAGAGAAUCGGGGAGAAGGAGAGAAGGAAAAGAGAAGAGAAAUGGUUUGGGCAUUUCACCCCCAAACCGGUCCAACACUUAAAAUUUAAUACCCACUCUACAAAUAACACCUCAAAAAUAAUACCCCGAUAACAAUUACCUUUUACUAGCUAAAAGUUACCAUUUUUACUGCCGUCACAUUUUCUCUUACGAUUAAAUCUUCCGAAAUAAUUGUCUCCUAAAACUCCUCUAGAGACAUUUGAAACUAUAAUCUUAUCGACGAAGACGGUAAAAUUCUUAUUAAUACCGAGCUAGUAAAUAAGGUAAAAAUUUAAGGGUCGGGAUGUGACAGCUGUUCAGGGGAUUUUCAUGGUUUUUGAUUGGUUAUAUUAAUGGGAGUUAUUGAUGUGAAUUUUAGAAUUUUUGGAGGAGUUUUGGAUAGGUUUGGGAAUUUUUUAAAGCUUAGUAAUUUUGGCGGUUAUUUAAGGAGAAUCCGACCGUUAGAUUAAAAUCGUUUAAUCGGUAGAAAGUUGAAUUAAAGCUGCCAGUAGGUUCGGUGAAGUUUGGACCCUAUUGAGUUAAGAAUGGCAAAGUUGGGCAAGGAUGAGUGUGGUUAAGGCUCAUAUAUAAUUAUGCCUAUUUUGUGUAAGUUUUGGAUUUUUUGUUGGGAAUUAAUAUUAUAUUUGGAACAGGACGUGAGGAGGCUCAAGCAGAAGAGGCCUCGGAUCGACAUCAGGCUUAGGCCUAAUUUGUGAGUGUACUUUUGUUUUAAAUAAUAUGCAUGCAAAUGGUUUAUUGAUGAAUAAUUUCUUUUGUUGGAGAAUAAUCAAAAUUGAGAAUUUCGGUGAUUAUAUAUUCAUAUAUGCAUGAUUAUGAGGAUAUGUAUAUAAAUAAAUGUUAGCUAGCUAUACGUGUUUUUCCGCCAUAAUGAGGUAAAAUACCAUUAUGGUGUGACGUGAGCGUUAGACGCAAUCGUCGUAACCCUAUAUGAAUAUAAUAAUUCAUAUAGAAAAUAUGCACUUAUAUAUACACCCGUCUUUUCUGCAUAAUGAGGUAAAAUUCCAUUAUAGCGUGACGUGAGUGUUAAACGCAAGCGUAGUAGCCUUGUAUGAAUUUCUAUUUUUCUUAUAUUUCUUCAUAAGAAAUUAUACAAGGAGUACGACGAGUGUAAAUACGUAUAUAUAUAUAUAGUUUAGCCUGAGAGGCUUCAUUUGUUUGAGUUUUGGAAACUAGCCGGAGCUACUCAUGUAAUUGCCAAUUUUUGAGCUGUCGCAUGCAACAUAUUUUUCUAUGGAAAUUUAACUUGGGAAGCAUAAAUAUUCUAUAAAUUUAUUUAUAUCCACUCACUCUAACGUUUUUCAAAUGUUUUCCCCUGGGCCCUUCAUUUUGAAAUGCCUAGUCUGCAUAGUUCGGGUUGGCACUAGUCAGAGGCGAGGCAUAGUUACCCACAUCUCUUUCACCUUUUAUCAAUAGGUUACCUGUUAACCUACUACCAUAUUUUAUUGCUUCCGCUAGUGUUUAGUAGCUCUGAUUACCUUGGGAUUAUUUGUAUAAUAGUUCGGUUGUGUGCUAAGUCUUUGUUUAUUAAUUUGGGAGAUAUCCAAAGGAUGGUGUAUGACAUAAAUUGGAUAUUUAUGUGUUGGAUUAGAAGAUGUUAUUAUUUUUGUGUGUGGUGGAUGUGUUGUGGGGGAGCAGGUGGCUCCAGGUGUUGAGGUUGGAUGUGUUGGUAUAGGAGUGUUAUCUGAAUUUUUUCAAGAUAGAGUUGUCAAUUUUCAAGAGAGAUUAUGCCGAAUUUUUCGGUAAAUUUUCUUUGGAGGUGGCUCCCGCAGGACUUACUCCAGGUUUUAGGGUAAAAUUUAGGGUGGGUUUUGACAAUAUGAGACAAUAAGCUUAUUUAUAACAGAUAUUAAAACUCACAUUCCCUGAUUAUUUAUUUUUGCUGAUACUCUCAUAAAAAUACAAAAUUUAGAUUACUGAAAAAAAAAAUGGUAGGGAUUAGCAUCUUUUUAUUUUGGUUUUUUAGCUAUUUUAGAGAACGUGUUUAGCUUUUUGAGUAUUUUAGGAGCUCCAGCAAACUAGCAAAAGUUUAGCUAAUAUGACUUUUAACUAUCUCGUUAGCUAAAUACAGAGCGAGAUGAAACUCUCUAUAAUUUAAUGCAUUCAUUUUAUGAUAUUUUAUGUGAUAUAUAAAUACAUAUUAAUUAGCUAUUUAAUCUUUAUUUGAAGAAUAAAUAAUAUUUAUUUAAAACUAACUAAAGUAGAGAGCAUUAAUGCAGACGUAUUUCUAAAAUCGCUAACCAAAAUGACAUUCUAGUUAAUUUAACUAAAAAAUAACUAACAUUAGUAAAAAUGCUAUUAAACAGGUAAAUUUUGUUGUGAGUUCGUUGUCAGAGCAUAAAGUGGGUCAAAAAAUAGGUUUUCGGUCUAUAAACAAAACUAAAAUGACAAACGAAUUAUACCUUUAAAAUGGUAGUGUGAUUCUAACACUUAUCUUUCAAUAAAAUAGGGUACGUAGUAUAUGAUUUUAAUAGCAUGGUAUACAUUGUGUACACGAAGAAGGCAGUUGCAACCUUUUUGUGAUUUAUAUGAUAAAUUACUUUGUUAACUGAGGACGAUUCCAUGUGCUUCUUGUAUGCAUAUGUUAAUUUGGAUUGAUUUGAUUAAUGAGAACGUUGAUUGUGUCUUAAUCCAUGUGUUAAAGAAAACAAGAUGUGAAUUGGGAAUGCGACUCCGAGUUGAAUCGGGUAAUUAGGUUUCUAAUCCCAAACACACCAAAAAUGGAAAAACCAAUUUGAGACUGGUGGGUGGUCCCCGAUGCUUGAUAGGUGAGAAAGCAAUAAGUCCAGCGCACUGCGAAGGAAAGCGAUGUAGGCUCUUAACUUAGAAUGGGUAGAUAGCGCAACAACCAUGAGCAAUUAAGAAACAAACCAAAUCUGCCCAUUGGAAAAUAAAAGAAGAAAGAGUUUACUUGCAUUUGGUAUCCUUUAUGUACUUCCUGAAUCAGUAAAACAUAAAUCUCGAUUUUUUUUUUUUAUCCGGUUCGGUCCCCGGACCCUCUAAAUAAUGUUGUGGAGAGAAGUCGAGAUCUCUAGAGAUCGAUCACCAAACUUUGUAUGUGAGUCGUAAAAACGAUCACGAUAUCGGAAAAACACGGAUCGAAGAAUCAUCGUACAUAAGACUACCUAACUAAUGGUCAUAAAUCAGGACAAUCUAUGUGACACCAACUUAAUAGCUAGCGUGGCAAACCCUUUUUAAAGGAGAGACGUGCAAAAGGCUCCAAUUAUAGAAUAAAAGCACUCUCGGCCCUAAUUGCAUGUGAUAUGGCAGUAGAGAUCAAAAAUUUUGCAAUAACAACUAGAUGUGACGCUCAAUGAUUUUGUGACUUUAAAUUUACGUAACAGGAAAUGUGACUAUCAACGUUGAAAAUGUAACCUCAUGAUUAACAUUAUAUUUUUAUGCACCCCACGUAACAAAAUAAACACAAGUUUUACAUGUCUUUAUAAGAGCACCAUAAUGAAUCUUUUUAUUCUGUAAUUUUCAUUAUUACAAUGAAUCCUAAAAACAGUAAAAAGUGAAAUGCAGCUAUGGUAAACUGUUAAAAAGGUCAAUCGUAAAAGUUAAUUUCAGUAAACGGAAUAUUAUUUCUCUCACCAAACCGACUUUCUCUCUCCUACCCCCACCAUAAGUACUCUGACAUGACUUGGAGAGGAGCUUCAGUUUCACAUUCACAUAAUCACAUUCACUGUCCAACCACAACCCAACAUAGCAGAGCUUCUUUUAAAAUCUCAGAUCAAACGAGACUCCCCCAUCCCCAUAACACUCAGCAAAUUGCAGACAAACAAACCCAUCAAAGAGAGGGAAAGGGUUUUGGAGGCAGGAGAAAAAUGUGGUUGAUUUAUGUGUGUGAUGAGGAAGAGAAGGAAUUGGGAAGGCAACAAGCUCCAGGGUCAUGUCCUCACUGUGGAGGCAAAGUAGAAGCUGUGGAUGUUGAGGCUCAGUGGAAGUUUUGCUUUCUCCCCAUGUGUUUCAAGAUCAAGAGGAAGUACUUCUGUUCUCUCUGCUCCAGGCGCUUGGUCUUGUACUACUAGCUCAAACCAAUAAGCACCCGGCUCAAAUUAAGACCCAGAAAUGAUUUAGGUUCUCUCUUUGUUUGUAAUUAAUCUCUCUCUCUCUCUCUCUCUCUCUCUCUCUCUCUCUCUCUCUCUCUGUGUUUCUGAUGUGUUUCUGGUUUUGGGUACAAUGAGAUUCAGGAAAUCUAGCUAGCUAGGAGAUUUGGGUUUUGUACAAAAAGAUUGUUAGAUUUGGGGGAAAUGGGUUCUUGAUUUGAAUGCCAUUGACAUUGAUUGGUUAGUAGCAUUGUUCAAUUUGGGUCUUUCUACUCAAUUUUUUAAUGAAACUUAUGAGGUUGUAAGCUUGCUCUAAAUCAUGUUUAGAGGUGAUCUUUAGUACUUCAUUAUUCAUUUUCCUCGUUAAUCCUCGUAUUAUUAUGGAAAAUCUGGUUUAGAUAUUUGGUGUAGAGUGCAUAAGGCUUAUUUUCUCCUCAGUUUCCAACUUCUAAUAAAGUUUAAUUAUCUUGUAACCUUUUUGAUAGUUUGAUUUUGAUUGAAACUAAUAGAUUGGAUGUAGCUAAUGACACAUGUUCUGAAGGGGAAUUGCAAGUCCCCACUCCAUUCAAAAGGAAAAGGAAUUGGGUCAUUAUCCCACCCACAUUUCUACUUUUUUCUGCAGAAAAUAUUUGAUCAUGGAAAUCUCUAGACUUCUGAUUGUCAUACCUAGAAGUCUCUGGGUCAGAACUCAAGUCUUUAAUUUUUUAGGUUUUUUUUAUAUCUUUAUUUUUUUAAAUUUUCUGAUAAACGAAAUGUGAAAAAGAUGUGAACCUGUUCUUGGAAAGUUGGAAUAGGACUAUGAAUACUCAGAUUACACCAACAUGGGGAGUGUUUGAAGCUUCAAUAAAAAUGAAGAACACACAAAAAGUUUACGCUUCCUAUUUUGUUAUUGGGGAUUGAGAAUCUGAGGUUAAACUAGUGGAGGCUGUAGCUGAGAAAACGAGCAUAACCAAAGGAAUGAUGCCUUGAAUCUUUUGUUUCUGUUAUACGACUGUAGAGUCUGCCCACCAUUGUUUAAUACUUGACUGAGCUCGUGUUACCAUCAAUAUUUUUCAAAUGGUCAAACUAAAAUGUUCAGGUCAAUAACUUAUCUCAUAAUUGAUGCAGUAACGUGCCUCAUAGCACUCCUAAUGUUCCAGCCAAUUGUCACUUAUGAGUCUCUUUGUUUAGGUUGCCACGGACCAUGGUUUUGAUUUGUAAUAUUUUUGAAGCAAAGUGGGCAGGCAACCCAAUAUAUUAAUUUCUCAAGCUAGGAUGGCUAGAUGCAAGCCCUCAUAUGUGGUGAUACAAAAACCAUCACAUUGUACAAUUUUUGCUCAUUUAAAAUGAGCCUAACCGGAACUUGGCAAUGGAGGUGUGGGUGUGGUAAUUAGAGACUAUGAGGGAGAGUGUGUUGCUAUUUUUGUUAGGCCUUUUCAGUAUACCUUAUCAGCUUUUUAUAUGGAAGCGGAAGCUCUUAGAGCAGGUAUGCUAAUAUGUAUUCAGCAAGGGUGGCAAGAUGUUAAAGUUGAAAAUGAUUGUGUGAACUUGGUAAAUGCACUCCAAAACACCGAUGACGAUCUCUCUAUUAUAGGAAGAGUUAUAGAGGACUGCCAAAGGUAUGUUGGUGCUUUUAAUUUCUUUCAUUUGCAACAUGUUUGUCGUGAAGCAAAUAGUGUGGCAAAUAGAUUAGCCCGCUUUGCUAGAUGCAAUAAGUUGGAUGUUUUUAGUUUAGAUAAGACACCUGUUAUUAUUCAGGAUGUUCUCUAUGAGGAUCUUUGUAAUAGUUUGUCUGUAGCUCGGGGUUCAGGUUUUAUGUCCCCCNNNNNNNNNNNNNNNNNNNNNNNNNNNNNNNNNNNNNNNNNNNNNNNNNNNNNNNNNNNNNNNNNNNNNNNNNNNNNNNNNNNNNNNNNNNNNNNNNNNNNNNNNNNNNNNNNNNNNNNNNNNNNNNNNNNNNNNNNNNNNNNNNNGAAAAAAAAAAAAGAAGCCUAAUCGAGUUAGAAAGUUAGAAAGUUAUUAUACACAAGGAUAAACUUGGUUGUAAAGCUUUCUUUCGCCAAUGCGCUCAAUUGCGAUACUCUAGAAGCUUUUAUUAUCGAGGUGUAUGAUAACCCUCCUUGUUGGCAGGCUAAAACUAUUAUGCAUGAGUGCCGCUACAAAAUCGUGGUGUUAGGAAUUCGCUAAAAAGUUUUUUGCCUCAUCUGACAACACGUCUAUUAACACCGUCACCGUACAGCUUGUACAUGAGCAAUAUCUAUGUGAGUAUGGUUCUUUUGAUGAGGGUUUCCCUCGUCGAUGGGAACGAAGGCCGGUGGCUGGUGAGAUCAGAGUUGAUGGGAGGCUUUCGCUUGAUUCUUUCAAGUUGGCUAUGGUGCUUGUGAGGGAAACCCAAUACAAAAUGAAGAAAUGCACGAAAUUGAAAAGAUAUUAAAAAGAGAUAUGAGAAAAAUUCAGAAUCAGUGCCUAAACUCAAAUAACAAGGCCAAGUUAGUUUCCUUUACUCAAUCUAGUACUUCAUUUGCUACUGUAUUGAUGAUUAUUUGGGCUAUUUGGAUGAACCGCAAUACUAAGGUUUGGGAUAGUGAGGCAAAACCAACAUCUGAGGCUGUUCCUUCUAUUCUGGGUGGGUAUGCUGAAUACCAUGAGGCACAUGUCAGUAAUAAUGUGCCUAUUCAGAUGCCCAUAGUUGGUUGGCAGAAACCUACUAGUGGUAUGGUCAAACUUAAUGUUGAUGUUGUUUUUGAUAAUCCCAAUAGUUUAAUAGGAGUUGGGGAUAUCUUUUGGGAUGCCAAUAUUGGAACCUUUUUGAGAGGUUUCCGGCAUUCUUUAUCUCAUGCAGCCUCUGCAUGUCAUGCAGAACUUCAAGUAAUGAUUUAGGGGUUGGAAUGUGCCUUAUCAUGUCACAUGGUGUCGUUGAUUGUAAAAACUGAUUGCCAAGAGUUGGUUUAUGCAGUAACAGACUAACAUGUCAUUUCCUGGACCAUUCUGAUAUGAGUUUCUUGAUAUUAGAUCUGAAACAGCUACUACAACUGUCAAGACCCACCCCGAAUUUCACCCUGAAACCCGAAGUAAAUCUUGCGGGGACCACCUCCAAGGAAAGUUUACCAAAAAUUCGGCAUAACCUCCCUUGAAAAUAGACAACCUUUCCUAAGAAAAUCUGCAUACACUUCUGAUAAACCAAUUCCAACCUUAAACUCCUAGAGCCUUCAUGCUCCCCCAAAUCACAACAUCUCUCAAUUGUUUACUAACAUUAAUGAGAAUAAUCCCACAACCAGCAAUCACAGUUCAGAGCAAUUCUAAUUGAGAGGAAAUAAACUAGAAAUUUAGAAAUGAGCGGAAGCUAAACUAUUGACUAUGCCUCUUCUCCAUGUACGCCCGACCUCAACUAUGCUAACCUGUAAACUGGGCAUUUUUAAAACGAAGAGCCCAGGGGAAAACAUUUGAAACCGUUAGAGUGAGUGGACAAAAAUAAAUUUAAAAAGAAUUAAAUUUUUAUGCUUUCCCGAUUUAACUUCUGUGGAAAUACAAUUAGCGGCAUGCAACAAGCUCAAAAGCUUUUAAAAAUUUACCGAAUUUACCAAAAUGUGACUAGCACAGCUAGUCACCAACACUUCAUAAAAAAAAAAAGAGCCUCUCAGGCUAAAAUAAAAUAUGUAUGUAUUACACUCGUCAUAUCCCUUGUAUGAAUUUUUCUUGAAACAACAAAGACAAAUAGAAAAUUCACACAAGGCUACGACGCCUGCACCUAACGUUCACGUCGCACCAUAAUGACAUUUUACCUCAUUAUGGUGGAAAAGACGGUGUGUGUAUAUAUAUACACGCAUAUCCCCUAUAUAAAUUCUUAUAUUUAUAUUGUCACAUCCCGACCCUUAUAUUUUUACCUUAAUUACUAGCGUGAUUAUAAUAAGAAUUUUACCGUCUCGAUCAUUGAAUUAAUAGUUAAUUGGUCCCUAGAGGGGUUUCGGGGACGAUUAUGUGCGGAGGAUUAUUCGUAUGAUGAAAAUACGACGACGGUAAAAAUAAUAAUUUUAGCUAGUAAAAGGUAAUUUUUAUUCGGGUAUUAUUUUUCGGGGUGUUUUAUUUUAGAAUUGGGUAGUAUAUAGGUGAUGGACCGGUUUGGGGUGUGAGGCCCAAAACCCAUUUUCUUUUCCUCCCGAUUUUCUCUCCUCACCCGCUCCCGCACCCGAGCCCUCCCGCUGCCGGAUUUCCGACCGCCAGACCGCCGCCGUCCGGCCGCCCCAGACCGCCGCACCGGUCCCAAUCGAACGGCCUCCAACCCAGCUUCCAUUCUAGGCCGGUAGCAGCCCCCCUAGCGCCGCCGUGAGUGCGCGGUGCCGCCCGAAAGGAUAGGCUGCCCCGAACUUCCGGUCGCCGGAACUCCCUCCUCCGGCCACCAAUCCGGGCAAGCUUGGUACGGUUUUGUAGCCCUCCUCCCGUGCAGCAACCCCUCCAAGCAGCUCCCUCCCUCUUGAGCUAGGUAAGGAGAAAUGUGGAGUUGAAAUUUCUAGGGCUUUUAAGUUGUUUUCGUUCGAUUAGCCUAGUUAGGCUUGGAAUUGGGUGAUGUGUUGGUCAUGAAAGUUGUAGAGGAGAUUGAGAGGAAGAUUCUGUUAAAAUUUGGUAGCAUUUGCAGGUCGCCGGAGUUGGUCGCCGGCCGCCGCUGUUUUGGGAAAUUUUGUGGUUUUUGAUGUAGAAUAUUAAGGGGAUAUCAUUGAGGUGAAUUUUGGAAUUUUUGGAUGAGAUUUGGAUAGGUUUGUGAAUUUCCGAAGUGUGGUAUUUUUGGCGGGUAAUUAAUGUAGAAUCCGGCCGUAGGAUUUAAGUCGUAUUUUGGAGAGGUUGUAUUUACGACUGUUGAGUAUGAUAUUUAAGUUCGGAUUGUUCCGAUUUAAGAUUAUCGAAGUUAGGCAAUGAUGAGCGUAUUUAUGGCUCUCGGGUAAUUUUGCCUAUUUUGAUUAAAUAUUGGAUUAUUGGUUGGGAAAUUAAUAUUAUAUUUGGAACAGGACGUGAGGAGGCUUGAGCAGACGAGACCCCAGAUCGACAUCAGGCUUAGGCCUAAUUUGUGAGUGGACUUUUAUUUGAAAUAAUAUGCAUGCUAUGGUUCAUGAUUGAACAUUUCCUUUUGUUGGAGUUUUGACGUCAAUUAAUUUUGACGCUUUUAUUUCUUUUGGAGAGAUACCAAAAAUGGGAUUUUCGGUGGAUAUAAAUAUGUAUUUAUGAGAGAGUAUGUAUGGAAAAUGCUAGCUAGUCAUAUGUGUAUGUCCACCUUAAUGGCGUAGCAUAUAACCGCAUUAUGGUGUGACGUGAGCGUUGGACGUAAGCGUAGUAGCCAUAUUUGAGUGUUUAAUUCAUAUAGGGGGUAUGGACACAUAUUUAUACACCCGUCUGUCCACCUUGAUGGCGUAGUGUAGCACUGCAUUAAGGCGUGACGUGAGCGUUGGACGCGAGCGUAGUAUCCCUAUAUAGACUCAUGAAUUUAUAUAGGGAGUAUGGACGAGUGUAAAUACAUACAUAUAUUAUAGAGUCUGAGAGGCUCGAUAUUUUAUGGGAUAAAAGUUUUAUCGCUUGCAGCAUGCAUUCGAUUUUUUCCUUAGAAAUUAAUUUGGGGAAACAUAAAUAUUUUAUUCAUUAUUUUAUUUUUAUCCACUCACUCUAACGUUAUUAAAUGUUUUCCCCUGAGCCCUUCGUUUUAAAUUGUCCAGUCUGCAGAGUUCGGGUUGGAUCUAGUAGGAGACGAGGCAUAGUCACCCGCAUUUCUGCCAGUUUUCGUCAGUAGGUUACCUGUUCAACCUACUCGUGUUUUCUUUCUUCCGCUUGUGUUUAGUAGCUCUGAAUACUUUGGAAUUAUUGUAUAUUUUGUGUAGAAUUUCUAAAGGAUGAUUAUGUGAUGUUCGGAAGUGUUGAAUUAAGAGUGUAAUAUGAAAUUUUCGAGUUAGGGUUGUCCAUCUGCAAGGGAGAUUUGCUUAAUCUUUUCAGUAAAUUUUCCUUGGAGGUGGUCCCCGCACAACUUACUCCGGGUUUCAGGGUGAAAUUUGGGGUGGGUCGUGUCAUAUAUAGGGUUACGACGAUUGUGGCUAACGCUCACGUCGCACCAUAAUGGAAUUUCAUCUCAGUAUGGUGGAAAAGCACGUAUAGCUAGCUAGCAUUUCUUUAUAUACAUAUUAUUCUCAUAAUCAUCUAAAUAUGGAUAUAUAUAUACAUACUCACCGAAAUUCUCAAUUUCGGUUAUUUUCUAACAACAUAAAUUAUUUCGCAUGCACAUUAUUUAAAACAAAAGUCCACUCACAACUUUAGGUCUAAGCCUGACGUCGGUCCGAGGUCUCUUCUACUUGAGCCUCCUCACGUCCUGUUUCCAAAUGUAAAAUUAAUUUACCAACUAAAAAUCCAAAUAUUUAUACAAAAUAGGCAAAAUUAAACGUGAGUCAUAACCACGCUCAUCAUUGCCUAACUUCGAUAUUCCUAAAUCGAAACGAUCCAAACUUUAAUACCAUAAACGGCAGUCGUAAAUACAACCUCCCCAGAACAACGACUUAAAUCCUACGGCUGGAUUCUACAUUAAUUAACCGUCAAAAAUACCAAACUUCAGAAAAUCACAAACCCGUCCAAAACUCCUCCAAAAAUUCCAUAAUUCACAUCAAUAAACUCCCCUUAAUAUUCCACAUUUAAAACCAUAAAAAUCUCUCAAACAGCGGCGGCCGGAUGCCGACUCCGGCGAUCUCCAAUGCCUAUGAAAUUUUGACAGCAUCUUCCUCUCAACUCACUCUACAACUUCCUUAACUAGCACAACACCCAAUUAUAAGCCUAACUAGGUCAAUCGAACGAAAACAUCCAUAAAUCCCUAGAACUUCAAUUAAACAUCUCUCAUUAUCAAGACCGAAUUAAGUCGAUUCCUUUUGAGGGAUCAUUAACCUUGAUGAGAGCUACAAGAUGAGCUAAAAAUCACGAGCUAUGGUGGCCGGAGGUGGGAGCUCCGGGGAAGGACAGCCCGACGUCUCCGGUGGAAGAUCUCCCGAUCGGCGGCAUUAUCGGCGCAGCCACUAGGUCGGGAAGAGAGAAGAGGUGGCGGGGCUCCGAACUGGGCUAGAGCGGCGGCCGGUUGCUGGUCGGACGGCGGCAGGUAAGCGGCUGGAAGUUCGCCUGGGAGAGAGCUCGGGAGAGGGCUCGGGGAAGAGGGAAGAGAAAAGAGAGAAGAAAAAGACUUUGGGCCUCUAACACCCGGUCCAACUCCUUAAUACCACUCUAAAAAACUCCACUCAAUAACACAAAACACUCCAAUAAAAAUACCCUAAUAAAAAUUACCUUUUACUAGCUAAAAUUUACCAUUUUUUACCGUCGUCACAAUUUCCUCCUACAAACAUUUCCUCCGAAAUAAUCGUCCCUCAAAACCCCGCUAAGGACCAUUUAAACUAUAAACUCAUUUACGAAGACGGUAAAAUUCUUAUUAAUUACCAAACUAGUAAAUAAGGUAAAAAUUUAAGAGUCGGGAUGUGACAACAACAAGCUGAUUCAGUCAUUCUUUGCCAUGUUAGGAGGGAAACUAACAAUGUAGCACAUAUUUUAGCUAGAGAAGCCAAAUUGACUGUCUAUUUUGAUAAUUUUUUUUUCCGUUACUCCCGUCUGUGGAGGUGUUACUCUAUCAAUAAAUAUAUUCAUUCCUUAAAUGCUUAAAUAGCGACUAAUAUGUAAUUAUCUAAAAACUGAAAUUACAAAAGACCCACGAAGGAAACUGAAAUACACCCUACAAGGAAAGAGGCCCAAGUAGUCCUCUACAAGAAGGACACUGCCCUCUCUUCUCUUCGUCUUCGACCUUCAAAACCCCCUCACCCGCCUCUGCUACGCUUUUGAAACCACAAAUCCCUUUCCAGACGAGAAUGGCUUCUUCGACGGCGGGAGUAAAGCGGCGCGAGACGUCGUCGUCUUCGGCGGCAAAAGCGGAAGACAAGCUGGUCGUGACUCCAUUAGGCGCCGGAAACGAAGUGGGUCGGUCUUGCGUUCACAUGACCUACAAGGGCAAAACCGUCCUUUUUGAUUGCGGAAUCCACCCGGCUUUCUCCGGCAUGGCUGCUUUGCCCUACUUCGAUGAGAUUGAUCCUUCCACUAUCGAUGUCCUUCUCGUUACCCAGUAUGUUACUUCUCUCUUGAGUAUCUAGGGCACCGUUUGUACUUAUAUGACUCGAAUGUCUAGGUUUUCUUGAUUGUAAUGUCUUAAUUGUUUAGCUAAUGAAAUGUGAUUGCAUUGUGUUGUAUGCUAAACUGGGGCAAGAAUCUAAUCUUGUACAAUUCAUUGUCUAAAAGAUGAAGCUACUAUGCCUUCUUGCUUUGCUUGUUCAGUUGUCUAUUGUGUGUUAGUUAGGUUUGCCUCAGCUUUCGUGUUUGCUUAAGCCUCCUCUUUCGGGGUUUUAGCGAAAACCAUGAACUUAAUUUAUGAAAGAAUGAGCAAAAAAACACAUGGAUCCGCCAAUGCUAGUGCGUCGACAAAGAUUAUUGUCUUACUUGACUCAAUCUGAUCAGCUAAGUUAAUGUGUUUCUAGGAGUUUUUGCUAGCCAGAGGAGGAUAACUAAGAUGUGUCUUAGGGUGUUUGUCAAGGUCCUACUAUCUUUUUGUCUAUGGUUUCUGGGUGUGUUCCACCUCUCUCGAUUCAUUUGAUUAAGUCUCUGACUUGUGUUAUUUCUUUUAUGGGAAACAUAAUAGUUAGUGCUAGAUGGACUAGCAGUCGAAAAAGGUAGAACUGUCAUCUAACAGAAAACUGAAAACAUGAAAAGAUGAGAGCAUAACAAAAGUCACC
rnacentral:lncRNA from 1 species